rnacentral:misc_RNA from 1 species
CUGCAGCGAUCAUAAAUGAAAGGUAGAAAGGCCAACAUAACAUUUUAACCAUCACCAAAUUAAAAAUAAAAUUAACCAUCAUUUGAAAUAUGCCUAAACGACAAUACAAACACCUUAAUCUGUGUCAAGAAAAUGAUAAGCUAUUUGGGGUGGUAAAUGUAGGCACUGUUGCAUUGCCAAACCCAAAAACCAGAAAUUUUAAUUACCAGGACAAAUUUAUAUACAGAUGGACCAAAAAAAGAAGAAGAAGAAGAUAGCUUCUUAUGAAUCCUGCCCUUUGGUACACCACACAUCAUCAGCCUCUGAACUUCAAAAGAUUCCACCCCCAACUACAGUGUAUUAAGCACAAAGAAGCACCCUCUCAACUCCCACAGUUUAGAAAAUCCAUAGCUGGCAAUCUACAGUUUCAACAAAUUUCCCUGAUCUUAAUAAAGAAUAGGGAUCAAAGAUGCUGCAUAUCACAUUUUAUUCGGCAUCAUAUAUUUAGCCUUUUUCUCAGCAGGCUUCAAAAUCUGAAA